GAGCGGGGGAAGGUAGCUUGCUACUGGACCUAGCGGCGGACGGGUGAGUAAUGCUUAGGAAUCUGCCUAUUAGUGGGGGACAACAUCUCGAAAGGGAUGCUAAUACCGCAUACGUCCUACGGGAGAAAGCAGGGGAUCUUCGGACCUUGCGCUAAUAGAUGAGCCUAAGUCGGAUUAGCUAGUUGGUGGGGUAAAGGCCUACCAAGGCGACGAUCUGUAGCGGGUCUGAGAGGAUGAUCCGCCACACUGGGACUGAGACACGGCCCAGACUCCUACGGGAGGCAGCAGUGGGGAAUAUUGGACAAUGGGGGGAACCCUGAUCCAGCCAUGCCGCGUGUGUGAAGAAGGCCUUAUGGUUGUAAAGCACUUUAAGCGAGGAGGAGGCUACUUUAGUUAAUACCUAGAGAUAGUGGACGUUACUCGCAGAAUAAGCACCGGCUAACUCUGUGCCAGCAGCCGCGGUAAUACAGAGGGUGCGAGCGUUAAUCGGAUUUACUGGGCGUAAAGCGUGCGUAGGCGGCUUAUUAAGUCGGAUGUGAAAUCCCCGAGCUUAACUUGGGAAUUGCAUUCGAUACUGGUGAGCUAGAGUAUGGGAGAGGAUGGUAGAAUUCCAGGUGUAGCGGUGAAAUGCGUAGAGAUCUGGAGGAAUACCGAUGGCGAAGGCAGCCAUCUG
rnacentral:rRNA from 1 species